UACGGAGGUGGCAACGUUGCUCGGAAUCAUUGGGCGUAAAGCGCACGUAGGCGGCUAGAUAAGUCGGGUGUGAAAGCCCUGGCUCAACCCAGGAAGUGCAUUCGAAACUGUCUAGCUUGAAUCUCGGAGGGGGUCAGAGAAUUCCCGGUGUAGAGGUGAAAUUCGUGAGAUAUCGGGAGGAAUACCAGUGGUGGAAGGCGCUGACCUGGACGAAGAUUGACGCUGAGGUGGCGAAAGCGGCGGGGAGCAAACAGG
rnacentral:rRNA from 1 species